GGCAUGGUAGCUCAGUUGGUUAGAGCAUUGUCCCACUAUGCCAAGGUUGUGGGUUCAAUUCCCAGUCAGGGCG
rfam:Myotis brandtii contig299456, whole genome shotgun sequence.